rnacentral:pre_miRNA from 15 species
GAAGACACAGCCCGUUGGGUCUUUUGAGGCAAAGUUCUGAGACGCUCCGACUCUGAGUCUGAUAGAAGUCAGUGCACUACAGAACUUUGUCUUUGGGGACCGAGCUCGCCGCCGCGCUGC